CCAGCUAAGGUCCCAAAGUCAUGGUUAAGUGGGAAACGAUGUGGGAAGGCCCAGACAGCCAGGAUGUUGGCUUAGAAGCAGCCAUCAUUUAAAGAAAGCGUAAUAGCUCACUGGUCGAGUCGGCCUGCGCGGAAGAUGUAACGGGGCUAAACCAUGCACCGAAGCUGCGGCAGCGACACUCAGGUGUUGUUGGGUAGGGGAGCGUUCUGUAAGCCUGCGAAGGUGGCCUGUGAGGGUUGCUGGAGGUAUCAGAAGUGCGAAUGCUGACAUAAGUAACGAUAAAGCGGGUGAAAAGCCCGCUCGCCGGAAGACCAAGGGUUCCUGUCCAACGUUAAUCGGGGCAGGGUGAGUCGACCCCUAAGGCGAGGCCGAAAGGCGUAGUCGAUGGGAAACGGGUUAAUAUUCCCGUACUUGGUGUUACUGCGAAGGGGGGACGGAGAAGGCUAUGUUGGCCGGGCGACGGUUGUCCCGGUUUAAGCGUGUAGGUGUGUGUUCCAGGUAAAUCCGGUUCACUUUAACACUGAGGCGUGAUGACGAGGCACUACGGUGCUGAAGCAACAAAUGCCCUGCUUCCAGGAAAAGCCUCUAAGCAUCAGGUAACAUCAAAUCGUACCCCAAACCGACACAGGUGGUCAGGUAGAGAAUACCAAGGCGCUUGAGAGAACUCGGGUGAAGGAACUAGGCAAAAUGGUGCCGUAACUUCGGGAGAAGGCACGCUGACACGUAGGUGAAGUGAUUUACUCAUGGAGCUGAAGUCAGUCGAAGAUACCAGCUGGCUGCAACUGUUUAUUAAAAACACAGCACUGUGCAAACACGAAAGUGGACGUAUACGGUGUGACGCCUGCCCGGUGCCGGAAGGUUAAUUGAUGGGGUCAGCGCAAGCGAAGCUCCUGAUCGAAGCCCCGGUAAACGGCGGCCGUAACUAUAACGGUCCUAAGGUAGCGAAAUUCCUUGUCGGGUAAGUUCCGACCUGCACGAAUGGCGUAAUGAUGGCCAGGCUGUCUCCACCCGAGACUCAGUGAAAUUGAACUCGCUGUGAAGAUGCAGUGUACCCGCGGCAAGACGGAAAGACCCCGUGAACCUUUACUAUAGCUUGACACUGAACAUUGAGCCUUGAUGUGUAGGAUAGGUGGGAGGCUUUGAAGUGUGGACGCCAGUCUGCAUGGAGCCGGCCUUGAAAUACCACCCUUUAAUGUUUGAUGUUCUAACGUGGACCCGUGAUCCGGGUUGCGGACAGUGUCUGGUGGGUAGUUUGACUGGGGCGGUCUCCUCCUAAAGAGUAACGGAGGAGCACGAAGGUUGGCUAAUCCUGGUCGGACAUCAGGAGGUUAGUGCAAUGGCAUAAGCCAGCUUGACUGCGAGCGUGACGGCGCGAGCAGGUGCGAAAGCAGGUCAUAGUGAUCCGGUGGUUCUGAAUGGAAGGGCCAUCGCUCAACGGAUAAAAGGUACUCCGGGGAUAACAGGCUGAUACCGCCCAAGAGUUCAUAUCGACGGCGGUGUUUGGCACCUCGAUGUCGGCUCAUCACAUCCUGGGGCUGAAGUAGGUCCCAAGGGUAUGGCUGUUCGCCAUUUAAAGUGGUACGCGAGCUGGGUUUAGAACGUCGUGAGACAGUUCGGUCCCUAUCUGCCGUGGGCGCUGGAGAACUGAGGGGGGCUGCUCCUAGUACGAGAGGACCGGAGUGGACGCAUCACUGGUGUUCGGGUUGUCAUGCCAAUGGCACUGCCCGGUAGCUAAAUGCGGAAGAGAUAAGUGCUGAAAGCAUCUAAGCACGAAACUUGCCCCGAGAUGAGUUCUCCCUGAGACUUUAGGUCUCCUGAAGGAACGUUGAAGACGACGACGUUGAUAGGCCGGGUGUGUAAGCGCAGCGAUGCGUUGAGCUAACCGGUACUAAUGAACCGUGAGGCUUAACCUU
rnacentral:rRNA from 1 species